CUCAACUUUAUUAACAGCUGAACCACAGACAUACACUCACACUGAAGAAAACUAGAGAAAUGAUCUGGUAAAUUCAACAUGUGGAAAUAACAAAUAGGCUCACCUGGAAGUCAAGAACUGUGCCGAGAUAUUUAAAACUUCUCACAGUUUCAACAUGUUUGCCCGUCACUCAGCACUUCGGGGAUAACGGCACAAGCCUCCCUCCCGCUGUCCAGGAGGCUGCCCUGACAACCAUCUGACAGUGGACCUGGACCUGGACCACAUCCUGCUGCUGACAUCCACCCUGCGUCUUCUGCUCCUGGCCCUGCACCUUGUUCUGAACAUCUUAUUGUUCAUCUCUGGCAACUUUAGUUUCAACAAACACAUUAGUUUUAUGUAUCAU